rnacentral:rRNA from 1 species
UACAGAGGUCCCGAGCGUUGUUCGGAUUCACUGGGCGUAAAGGGUGCGUAGGUGGCGAGGUAAGUCGGAUGUGAAAGCUCGGAGCUCAACUCCGAAAUGGCAUUGGAAACUACCUUGCUCGAGGGUUGGAGGGGGGACUGGAAUACUUGGUGUAGCAGUGAAAUGCGUAGAUAUCUGGAGGAAUACCGGUGGCGAAGGCGGCAUCCUGGACCGGCAUUGACGCUGAGGAGCGAAAGCCAGGGGAGCAAACGGG